rnacentral:rRNA from 1 species
UACGGAGGGGGCUAGCGUUGUCCGAAGUUACUGGGCGUAAAGCGCGCGUAGGCGGGUUGGUAAGUCCGCUGUGAAAGCCCGGAGCUUAACUCCGGAGGGUCGGUGGAUACUGCCAGUCUUGAAGGUGCUAGGGGGAGAUGGAAUUACCGGUGUAGCGGUGAAAUGCGUAGAUAUCGGUAGGAACACCAGUGGCGAAGGCGGUCUCCUGGGGCAUUCUUGACGCUGAGGCGCGAAAGCUAGGGUAGCAAACGGG